GACCUCUUUCUGGAGAUUCUUCCUUGGUGAAGCUUUCUCCUGUAAACCUGGAAUCUUCUGAUAUGGCUGAGAUACUAAAACGUAAUCACGAGCAGUCAUGCAUGAUUUGAGACAUUUGGCUCCUGGCAUCAGUAAAUGCCCAGUACUGCAGCAUAAAGACCAGCUGGGGAACUCUUCACGCAAGUUCUGUGAACAAAAGAACGUGCUGCCUUCCUUUGGCAGCAGGUAAUUCACUGCAUAUUGUUAGUUUGUGUGCUGUUGAGAAAACAUAUUGCUGCCAUUCAGCUGCUCAGGAGCUCUAGUCGCUGCGCAGGGGAAUUCUAUACUGAAAACCUUCACAAAUUUUUCUUGGAGGUGGGCCAAAUGGAGCUGUGGUUGUUACUGGGUGCAAAUGCAGUGACUUUAUCCCAAGGUAUGCAGUGUCUGAGUCCUCCAAAUAAAUUCCUCCAUGCUCCCCUUAGGGAUGACCUAUCAGCCCAGACCAGAGAAUGCUUUUCCACCUUACCUCUGGAGGAGGCCACAGUCUCCUUCCCUCCCUCUGCAAUUUAAAAGUUAUACUUCUACCAAAUCAGGACAUACAGAUGGGGACCAUCCCAUGCAUCAUUUCCAGCUCUGACUUUUCUCAUUGUUUAAAGUCACCUACAACUGAACUCGUUCUUUUUCUGCUCAACACAAGUAGAAACAAAUAUUAACAGUGUAAACAGUUACAAACAUUUACAAAAAAAAAAAUACCCUUAGAAAUUCAUAGAAGCAAGCAAAUGGAUUUGACUGAACUUCACGCUUUCAGAAGCAUCUAAAAAUAGGUAGUGUCAGCUAUGCAAGAAUUUAAUGAGCAGUGGCCAGCACUGAGAGAUCUGUCCAAUUUUGAAAGCGUCAGAGUGAGCAGAGGAAAUGACUGCAGGUCCAGAGAUCCAAGAAACUGAAGAUGAUCCUCCCCCUUCCCUUUUGAUUCAAGCACCCACAUACCUAUGGAGGAAAAGAGCUCCCUGAACUGAAGCAGACUGAAUAUGUUGGAGACAGACGCCACGAUUCAAGCACAGGUUGAAAAGUACAUUUUGAAGCUCUGACAGCGCACGCUACGCAGAUCAUUCCACUUACAAGUGCUUAUUUGGGAUUUUUGAUGCCUGUUUUACCAUACAUUCUGAACAUACAGAUGAGAGAGCUGAGAGCACCAAGACCCUUCGGUUACCUUCCUCCUCGCAGCCACUUACAUUCUUUGAGGCACAGAGGUGGUCCCCCCCACCAUCCACAUAUGCAUUUCUUUAAUCCAUUACCAAAGGCAGAAUCAGACUGUUCUCCUCGCACUUGUAAACCUUCCUCCAGCAGCAAGGAAACUUUGCACCCCAACUAAAAACUUCAGGCAAGCAGAAGACGAUGCAUUUCUCUGCUUUCAGUGCUGGCAACCAAUGAAAAAAAGUUGCACCGAAGCCUUCUGAAUGAGGUUAUAAAGUGCUAUGAAAAUAACGCUGCCUCAAGGAAAGUCUUCCAACCUAUUUGCAAGCCUUCCCAGCCACAAGAAACGAACCCAGAAACAACACACGCUUAAUCUGUCAGUGCUGGAGAGAGAAAAAGGGUCUCAAAAAGCGUAAAAACUAUUAAACUGAAAGUGAAUGGAGCUAGCUAAAUCACCCCCAUCAAAGUGUUACGGGCACAUAAAGGCACACAGGUGAAGAGGCUAAUAAAAGUGCCGCUCCAGCAACGAACACAGCUCAGAUAUACUGCUUUCAAUAAAAGGUGGUUUUCCUGACAAAAAGCAGCUCAGGAGCUGAGCGCAGCUCUCCCACCGCCCCAUACAAGGCAGCCCACACCCCAAUCCCAGCACGGGGGCACCCACAGACAGCGGGGUCCAGUGGACGUGAAGUUCCAAACCACUUUGGCCCCGAUUUGCAUCCACCCCUCCUGCUCCCUGGGUGCACCCAAGGCUGGGAGACGGCACCCGCUCAGCUCCGUACCUGGAGGGUCCAUCUCAAUGUAAAAGAUGAGCUCAGUGGAAUAGGGCAUCAUCACCUCCCUCCAGUCCGUGUCAUCGCGGUCCAUAUCCCACACCGUGUUGUACAUCGCGGCGGGCGGGCGGCAGCGGGGCUUUCUUUGCAGUUAAUUGUUUAAAAAAAUAAUAAUAAUAAAAGGUGGAAAAAGGCUUCCAGGAAUAGCCCACCUGCUCUGAAAUAACGCUUCGGCUAAACAAA